rnacentral:rRNA from 1 species
ACUUUAAUUGAAGAGUUUGAUCAUGGCUCAGAUUGAACGCUGGCGGCAGGCCUAACACAUGCAAGUCGAGCGGAAACGACUUAACUGAACCUUCGGGGAACGUUAAGGGCGUCGAGCGGCGGACGGGUGAGUAAUGCCUGGGAAUAUGCCUUAGUGUGGGGGAUAACUAUUGGAAACGAUAGCUAAUACCGCAUAACGUCUACGGACCAAAGAGGGGGACCUUCGGGCCUCUCGCGCUAAGAUUAGCCCAGGUGAGAUUAGCUAGUUGGUGAGGUAAGAGCUCACCAAGGCGACGAUCUCUAGCUGGUCUGAGAGGAUGAUCAGCCACACUGGAACUGAGACACGGUCCAGACUCCUACGGGAGGCAGCAGUGGGGAAUAUUGCACAAUGGGCGAAAGCCUGAUGCAGCCAUGCCGCGUGUAUGAAGAAGGCCUUCGGGUUGUAAAGUACUUUCAGUAGGGAGGAAGGUGUUGUAGUUAAUAGCUGCAGCAUUUGACGUUACCUACAGAAGAAGCACCGGCUAACUCCGUGCCAGCAGCCGCGGUAAUACGGAGGGUGCGAGCGUUAAUCGGAAUUACUGGGCGUAAAGCGCAUGCAGGUGGUUCAUUAAGUCAGAUGUGAAAGCCCGGGGCUCAACCUCGGAACCGCAUUUGAAACUGGUGAACUAGAGUGCUGUAGAGGGGGGUAGAAUUUCAGGUGUAGCGGUGAAAUGCGUAGAGAUCUGAAGG